GGGGCAUAGUUGUUGCUUAGCACAAAAAUCUGGGUAAUAUAGAUUUUAUCCAUGUUGAUAAGCAAAUUAUUUUUGAUUUGGUUUCCCUGCCUAAUGUAGAACCCUGGGUGUUGGGUGUGUUAUAUGUAAGUACUUCUACAAUUCGUCAUCGGGAUGCCUGGGCUCAAAUGCAAGUUGUUCAAGCUAUUGGCCUUGAUAUGGUACUAAUAGGUG
rnacentral:lncRNA from 1 species